UCGAAAUUCCUGCCUGGAGCCACGAACGGCGACAAGAGCGCGGGGCCAUCAGUGAGGGAAGCGGCUCCCCCGCCUGGCCGCGCGGCGAAAGGAAGCAGCCCACUGGCUUCGCGCGAGGCGCUGUGCCGGCCAGGAGAGCAGCUCGGCUUCUGCAGGAGCUCCUUGCUCGCUGUAACCAAGGCGCGAGGGGCUGCUCCACAGCCACUCGGGGCGGCUUUCCCGCUAUCCGCCCUCCAUGCAUCAGGCGCCCACCCCGCCCGAGCACACCCAUUUCGGCCUCCAUGGAGAGGGACGCGUCAGCCGCUUCCCGCCUGGCAGCCCGGGCUCUGGUCUAGCGCGUGGGCGGGCUUGCAGGUGCCCGAGCUAGCGCCGUGCUUUGGAUUCCCGUUCCUUCCUUCCUGCUUCCUUCGGUCCUCGCUCCGCUUGUCCCCGCGCUCUGGGAAGGGGGCUACGCGGGAGACGCCAAAGAAGCCCGGCAGCAGCACCACCACCUGCUUCCCACUUCGGCAGUUCAGCUGAUGGCGUCUCACCAGCAAAGCAGGAUUCAAGCCUACCUGGAGAAGAACAAGAUCGGGCCGCUGUUCGAGGAAUUGAUGACCAAACUGAUAACAGAGACACCUGACCAUCCAAUACCAUUUCUUAUUGACCAUCUCCAAUCCAAACAUGGAUCUCGUAGCCAGCUUCAGAGGACAUUGUCUGGAUCUGCUGCUCUUUGGGCAGAAAGUGAAACUUCAGAAAACAAGGGAACAAGAAGGGAUUUCAGAAGUUAUGAUAAACCUUGGCAGACAAAUGCGAAGAAGCCAAAAAAAUCAAAGAGUGACCUUGCUGUAUCGAACAUUUCUCCUACUUCUCCAGAGUCCAAAUCAUUGCCAAAGUCAAUAGAACAUCCUAAAUGGGACUGGAGAACAAAAUCAGAUAGUCAUGAUUUUGAUGAAUUAAAUCAUAUCCUUCAAGAAAGUAAGAAGCUGGGUAAAGCCCUGGAGAAUCUUUCUCGAAGCAUUGCUAUUUCUGAUGAACUAGACAAGGAUGUAGCAGCAUUUAAUGCUCCUCUUCUACGACCCCGUGUUGUUGGAGAAUGGGUCGGUCGUGAAGAGAAUGAUGCAGAUCCAUUGGCUGCUGAAAUGCUGCAACCUCCAGUACCAAGAAGCAAAGUUGAACAAUGGGAUAGUGAAGAUAGCAGCAGCCCUUGUGGAAGUUUGAAGAUGGAACCAAAGACCAAAGGACUGAAACAUCAGCAGCAGCAACAUAAGAAGCUGCUCGCUGCUAUGCUUUCCCAGGAUUCAUUUGAUUCUGUACAGAGCACAGCUCCAUCAGUAACAGAGGAAGACAUUGACAACGAAGAUGAUGCAAUGGAACUCCUGGAGGAUCUUGAUGAUUUAAGAAUGGAAGGAGUAACCAGUGUAAUUUCUUCAGGAAGCAAAUUUAACCAAACUCGAACUACACAUACUGCUGAACCACAAGCCAAGGUCACACUGAACAUCUGUGCAAGGUGUGCCAGACUACAAGGAGAUAACUUGCCAGAAAGAACAGAGGAUGUAUCUGUGGCCUCUCAGACUCUUGAACAAGAAUUAGCAGAAUCCAUUGCACCAGUGCCCGAAACAGAAAUCUUAAUGGAGAAUACUGAUGAACAGGAGAAUGUCCCCCAAGCAACAGAACAGAAUCAACCAGUUUGGAAUGUAGACAUCACAAGUUCCACAAGUGGAGAUACCCCAAGCCAGAAACUAUUAAAAGAUUCCUUGGCUGCAAAAGAACUGCAGACUAUGGAGAAACACCUUGCUGACAUUGCAAAGGACCUAGCGCUGUGGGAAGAAGGAAGACUGUCAAGAAGUACCAGUAGCCCCCAAACUAAUUUAGUUGCACUAGAUCACCAAGGAAAUUUUAAAGUUACACCAGGCCUGGAUUCAGAACCACAAGUGCCUACUGGGAAAGAUAUUCAGCUCCAGCUUCAAAGAAACAAAUCACCACCAUUAUCCAGUAACAAUAGACUGCAGGUCUCCAGUGUCACAAACAGUAGGCCUGAAUCUCCCAAUGCACAGACAGACAGAUCUUCAUUGCUGCCAGCUCCAGCAAACAGGUCUGCAACCCUAAAUACUUUGUUACAAAGACCUCUGUCCCCUAGCAACCAAGGAAAUAAGGAAGCACUCAUUAGUAUGCAAAGAAGCCGGUCUUUAAUAUCAAAGAACCAACAUGGGAGGACAGUCAGCUCUCCCUCAGGGCUCCUGAUUGAAACAAGUGGGGAUGCUCUAGGAAAUGUCACUCAAAGAAGCAGUUUAUCUGAAAUUUUCUAGCCCUUGGCCCCAACAUCAACCAAAAGGGAGACUACAACCAAGAAAUCAGAAGGAGAUAGAGAUUGGGAAAGACAACCAUAAAGAAACUUGAAAAAUUCUUAACUGGAUGAAUUCUUACACCAGCUACAGCUUGCUCACCAGCCAUGGAUUUUGCCAAGUGAUACUGAAAGUGAAGGAGUCGCAACAGAUCAGGAUAAAUGUUUGUGAAUUAAAUUGAUGGAAGAUACCAAGUAUGGAUUUCCACAAAUAUAUAACCUGCAAGUGGAGUGCUUUUCAUUCAUUAUGUAUAACAAAGGCUUAUUUUUAUAAAUUCAUUAUUGGUAUGUGUGGAUGCUGAACUACUUAAAUGCACUGAACCUUACAUCUUACUAUGGUACAGUGGCCUUAGGUGGGGGUAGUGAUCUGUCACUUUUUAAUACAUAGUAUUAUAAUGUAAUAUAAUGUAUUUUGUUUAACUUAUACUCCUGUUAUUUUGGAUUGAUAUUUGAUAUGUUAAAUUUUGCUUGGUAAAAAGAAAGUUUCCUCAAAGAUUUUAUGCAUUUUAACCGGACUGAGGUUUUUUACUCGUUAUAUUUUUCUAGACAUGCCUCAAUUUUGGAUUAAUAAAUGUUAACAUGUUUAGCCACGUCUGCCAGUAUAUAUGUAUAACAACCAGAGAAUACAAAGUUGGCUGCUUUUUUGUAAGUGUUGUAAAAUUGGCUGAGACAUAUAGAAAGAAAAGAGUGAUGUGUGGCCACACAAGUAUAAUUAAUAGUAAUCAGCAUAUUACUAAGUUCUAAUUAAAUCUUACCAAAUAGACUGCCAAAUGAAAUGUGGAAUGCAGCAUGCAUAAACAAAAUGUACUAAUUUCCUAUACUAUAAUUUACCCAUAUCCUAAAUGGCUUUUUAAGCUGUUGAUGAUUUAGUAUGUGUAUUGAUAUGUGUUUGAAACAAGUUGACUGCUCUGUUCUGUGAGUGUGGAAUUUAUGCAGAGAUAUCCCAUGAAGAAACUGCUGGAAUUGACUGAAUUUGCAGGAUUCAUUUACCUAUUUAUUCUGUUAAGCAUGGGUUUGGUUUUGUGCCUUUUUUCUCUUUGAUUUCAAUUUUUCAGCCACAACUGCAUAAUAAAAUUGCCUGCUACAAUUAUGAUAAAUAUACAUUGCCAAUUACUGAAGAAAUAAAAACUAAUUUCCUAUCAUAAA